rnacentral:rRNA from 1 species
UACGGGGGGGGCAAGCGUUGUUCGGAAUUACUGGGCGUAAAGGGCUCGUAGGCGGCCAACUAAGUCCGACGUGAAAUCCCAAGGCUUAACCUUGGAACUGCGUCGGAUACUGGAUGGCUUGAAUUCGGGAGAGGGAUGCAGAAUUCCAGGUGUAGCGGUGAAAUGCGUAGAUAUCUGGAGGAACACCUGAGGCGAAGGCGGGCUACUGGGCCGAUACUGACGCUGAUGCGCGAAAGCCAGGGGAGCGAACGGG